AGGAGGAAUAACCACAGUGGUGGCGGCCAGCUCUGGAGCCCUGGCUUCAGCUCCCGCAGUAUCUACAGAGCUCUCCGCCUGCAGGGCCUGGAGGCUCCGGGGCAGG
rnacentral:pre_miRNA from 1 species